rnacentral:rRNA from 1 species
UUGACCUCGGAUCAGGUAGGGAUACCCGCUGAACUUAAGCAUAUCAAUAAGCGGAGGAAAAGAAACUAUCAAGGAUACCCGCUGGACUUAAGCAUAUCAAUAAGCGGAGGAAAAGAAACCAACAGGGAUUGCCUCAGUAACGGCGAGUGAAGCGGCAACAGCUCAAAUUUGAAAUCUGCCUCUAGGCCGAGUUGUAAUUUGUAGAAGAUGCUUUGGGUGUGGUACCGGUCUAAGUUCCUUGGAACAGGACGUCAUAGAGGGUGAGAAUCCCGUACGUGACUGGCUACCUUCGCCCGUGUAAAGCUCUUUCAACGAGUCGAGUUGUUUGGGAAUGCAGCUCAAAAUGGGUGGUAUAUUUCAUCUAAAGCUAAAUAUUGGCCAGAGACCGAUAGCGCACAAGUAGAGUGAUCGAAAGAUGAAAAGCACUUUGGAAAGAGAGUUAAACAGUACGUGAAAUUGUUGAAAGGGAAGCGCUUGCAACCAGACUUGCACGCUGUCGAUCAUCCGGGGUUUUCCCCGGUGCACUCGGCGGUGUUCAGGCCAGCAUCGGUUUCGGUGGUUGGAUAAAGGCCUUGGGAAUGUAGCUCUUUCGGGAGUGUUAUAGCCCUCGGUGCAAUGCAGCCUACUGGGACCGAGGACCGCGCUUCGGCUAGGAUGCUGGCGUAAUGGUUGUAAGCGACCCGUCUUGAAACACGGACCA